rnacentral:rRNA from 1 species
UAUUAUUUAAAUUGUAAUUUAAUAAAUUAAAGUAGUAAUAGUUAUGUUCUUGAAACUUAAAAAAUUUGGCGGUAUUUUAGUCUAUCCAGAGGAACCUGUUUUGUAAUCGAUAAUCCACGAUGGACCUUACUUAAAUUUGUAAUCAGUUUAUAUACCGUCGUUAUAAGAAUAUUUUAUAAGAAUAUUAAUAUUCAAUAAUUUUUAUUAAAAUUUAUAUCAGAUCAAGGUGUAGCUUAUAUUUAAGUAAUAAUGGGUUACAGUAAAUUUAUUUAUACGGAUUAAAUUAUGAAAAAAUUUUUGAAGGUGGAUUUGGUAGUAAAAUUAUAAAGAUUAAUAAUUUGAUUUUAGCUCUAAAAUAUGUACAUAUCGCCCGUCGCUCUUAUUAUUAAGGUAAGAUAAGUCGUAACAUAGUAGAUGUACUGGAAAGUGUAUCUAGAAUGA